rnacentral:rRNA from 1 species
UACGGAGGUGGCAAGCGUUGUUCGGAAUUACUGGGCGUAAAGGGCGCGUAGGCGGGGAGGCAAGUCGGGUGUGAAAUCCCUCGGCUCAACUGAGGAACUGCGCCCGAAACUGCUUCUCUUGAGUCCCGGAGAGGAAGAUGGAAUUCCCGGUGUAGCGGUGAAAUGUGUAGAGAUCGGGAGGAACACCGGUGGCGAAGGCGGUCUUCUGGACGGUGACUGACGCUGAGGCGCGAAAGCGUGGGGAGCAAACGGG